rnacentral:rRNA from 1 species
GGACCCGCACAAGUAGUGGAGCAUGUGGUUUAAUUCGAUGCAACGCGAAGAACCUUACCAGGGCUUAAAUGUAAGUUGCAUGGAUCAGAGAUGAUCCUUUCUUCGGACCACUUACAAGGUGCUGCAUGGUUGUCGUCAGCUCGUGCCGUGAGGUGUCAGGUUAAGUCCUAUAACGAGCGCAACCCCUAUCGUUAGUUGCCAGCAAGUAAAGUUGGGUACUCUAGCGAGACUGCCGGUGCAAACCGAGAGGAAGGUGGGGAUGACGUCAAAUCAUCACGGCCCUUACGUCCUGGCUACACACGUGCUACAAUGGCCGGUACAGAGAGCAGCCACCACGCGAGUGGGAG